GAAAAUGCCUCCAAAUUGGCAAUUUCCACAGUCCAGUUUCUUUUAAGUCCAACUUUGGCCCCCAAUGAGAACUGUGCAGGAGUCCCUGGAUAAAUGAAGGCAUAGUUCUCUACAAACAAUGGAGAUCAACAUUGACCUCCGCAGCAGUGGACUCUCAAUCUUGACUUUGACUUUGAGAAUUAUCAAAAAGUAGGGAUUUCAUGGACAUACGAUACCAGCUGCAAUGUUGGAAAGGAGACUAAUAGAUCUCUUGGAGAAAAUGAAAGGACAGUGGGAAGGAAGAGACCUCAAGGAUGCUGAGUGACGCAUUGGAAAGAAAACCACUCGAUGUCUGGAAUCAGUCCUGUAGAAGCUAUUCUCUCUCAACCUUAAGGAAUAUCCAGACAGAAACCACACUCUACUGUGACGAGUGAGCUGAACAGCGGAGAUGAAGAAAUGAAGGUUUGGUAUCAGCAUCUGCUCAGAAGGUGUGACCGUCAAAGAAGAGGCCGGGGGACAAGAUUGCAUGUUCACUAAGUGAGGAACCACACUCUACUACGACGAGUGAGCUGAAACAGUGGAGACGAGGACAGUGAAGGUUUGGUACAAGCAUCUGCUCAGAAGGUGUGACCGUCCGAGUAGAGGCCGGGGGACAAGAUUGCAUGUUCACUAAGGUGAGGUAACCAUUUUUUUGCAGCUGU